rnacentral:rRNA from 1 species
UACGUAGGGGGCAAGCGUUGUCCGGAAUUAUUGGGCGUAAAGCGCGCGCAGGUGGUUUCUUAAGUCUGAUGUGAAAGCCCACGGCUCAACCGUGGAGGGUCAUUGGAAGCUGGGGAACUUGAGUGCAGAAGAGGAAAGUGGAAUUCCAAGUGUAGCGGUGAAAUGCGUAGAGAUUUGGAGGAACACCAGUGGCGAAGGCGACUUUCUGGUCUGUAACUGACACUGAGGCGCGAAAGCGUGGGGAGCGAACAGG